rnacentral:tRNA from 1 species
GUUAAUGAACUUGAAUAAGUUUAUAUUUUGAAAAUAUAAUAUAAAGGUAUAAUCCUUUAUUAACUUA